rnacentral:rRNA from 1 species
AACGAACGCUGGCGGCGUGCUUAACACAUGCAAGUCGAAACGCGAAAGGGAACUUCGGUCCUGAGUAAAGUGGCGGCACGGGUGAGUAACGCGUAGAUAACCUGUCUUCAUGCCUGGAAUAAUACGCCGAAAGGGGUACUAAUACCGGAUAUUCUUGCUUUUCAUAAGUUAUGCAAGCAAAGGUGGCCUCUGCAUAUGCUACUGCAUGAAGAGGGGUCUGCGUACCAUUAGCUAGUAGGUGGGGUAAUGGCCUACCUAGGCGACGAUGGUUAGCGGGUCUGAGAGGAUGAUCCGCCACACUGGCACUGGAACACGGGCCAGACUCCUACGGGAGGCAGCAGUGAGGAAUAUUGCGCAAUGGGGGAAACCCUGACGCAGCGACGCCGCGUGAGUGAAGGAAGGCCUUCGGGUCGUAAAGCUCUGUCUAGAGGAAAGAAGUGUACAAUGGCUAAUACCUGUUGUAUUUGACGGUACCUCUAAAGGAAGCACCGGCUAACUCCGUGCCAGCCGCAGC